rnacentral:rRNA from 1 species
GACGAACGCUGGCGGCGUGCUUAACACAUGCAAGUCGAACGGAAAGGCCCUGCUUUUGUGGGGUGCUCGAGUGGCGAACGGGUGAGUAACACGUGAGUAACCUGCCCUUGACUUUGGGAUAACUUCAGGAAGCUGGGGCUAAUACCGGAUAGGAGCUCCUGCUGCAUGGUGGGGGAUGGAAAGUUUCGGCGGUUGGGGAUGGACUCGCGGCUUAUCAGCUUGUUGGUGGGGUAGUGGCUUACCAAGGCUUUGACGGGUAGCCGGCCUGAGAGGGUGACCGGCCACAUUGGGACUGAGAUACGGCCCAGACUCCUACGGGAGGCAGCAGUGGGGAAUAUUGCACAAUGGGCGGAAGCCUGAUGCAGCAACGCCGCGUGCGGGAUGACGGCCUUCGGGUUGUAAACCGCUUUCGCCUGUGACGAAGCGUGAGUGACGGUAAUGGGUAAAGAAGCACCGGCUAACUACGUG